rnacentral:misc_RNA from 1 species
UUGGAUUAACGGAAAAACAAAUUUCGAAUAUGCAAGAUGCUGGUACAAGAUUUUUGUUUCCAUUAUUAUUAUUAUAUAGAAGUGUGAUAUCUCCUAGACAUUCACUCAAUCAGCUAGAUAACAUGUCGAAGUUAAUGCUUUUGGUGUCGAGAUUUCUUCGGAAGAGUAAAUGGAAAUCGAGUGAGAGGCGCAAUACAGAGCUUGUAGUUGAGACACUGAUUUUAACAGCCAUGUACCAG